AUCGUUUUGUAGUUCAUGAGCGUGACGAUUGGGUGUUCACAGCCAUUGGGUGACUUGUGUCUUCCUGAAACCUCAUUACGACUUUGGUACAUGACUUGUCUGAUG